GAUGAAGAACGUAGCGAAAUGCGAUACGUAAUGUGAAUUGCAGAAUUCAGUGAAUCAUCGAAUCUUUGGACGCAUAUUGCGCUCUCUGGUAUUCCGGAGAGCAUGCUUGUUUGAGUAUCAGUAAACACCUCAACUUCCAUAUCUUUUUUGAAAUGGGAGUUGGACUUGAGUGAUCCCAACGCUUUUCCUCACCGAAAAGUGGCGGGUUACUUGAAAUGCAGGUGCAGCUGGACUUUUCUCUGAGCUAUAAGCAUAUCUAUUUAGUCUGCCUAAAAAACAGAUUAUUACCUUUGCUGCAGCUAACAUAAAGGAGAUUAGUUCUUGUGCUGACUGAUGCAGGAUUCACAAAGACGGCUUCGGCCGACUUUGUAAACUCGAUCUCAAAUCAAGUAAGACUACCCGCUGAACUUAAGCAUAUCAAUAAGCGGAGGA
rnacentral:misc_RNA from 1 species